GCCUGGGUCUGCGGGACAGACCCAGCACUCACGAAACUGAGACAAGAUCACUUGAGCCCAGUAGUUCUGGGCUGUAAUGCACUAUGCUGAUUGGGUGUCUACAUUUAGUUUAGCAUUAAUAUGGUGACCUUCUGGGAGCAGGGGACCACCAGGUUGCCUAAGGAGCGGUGAAUUGGCCCAGGUUGGAAGCAGAGCAGGCCAAAACUCCUGUGCUGAUCAGCAGUGGGAUCAUGCCUGUGAAUAACCACUGUGCUCCUCCCUAGGCAACGUAGUGAGACCU
rnacentral:SRP_RNA from 1 species